CAGUCGAACGGAAGGCCUCUAGCUUGCUGGGGGUACUCGAGUGGCGAACGGGUGAGUAACACGUGGGUGAUCUGCCCUGCACUUCGGGAUAAGCUUGGGAAACUGGGUCUAAUACCGGAUAUGAACGGUCUUUGGUGUGAUUGUUGGAAAGAUUUUUUCGGUGUGGGAUGAGCUCGCGGCCUAUCAGCUUGUUGGUGGGGUAAUGGCCUACCAAGGCGUCGACGGGUAGCCGGCCUGAGAGGGUGUACGGCCACAUUGGGACUGAGAUACGGCCCAGACUCCUACGGGAGGCAGCAGUGGGGAAUAUUGCACAAUGGGCGCAAGCCUGAUGCAGCGACGCCGCGUGGGGGAUGAAGGCCUUCGGGUUGUAAACUCCUUUCGCUAGGGACGAAGCCUUUUUUAAGGUGACGGUACCUGGAUAAGAAGCACCGGCUAACUACGUGCCAGCAGCCGCGGUAAUACGUAGGGUGCAAGCGUUGUCCGGAAUUACUGGGCGUAAAGAGCUCGUAGGUGGUUUGUCGCGUCGUCUGUGAAAUUCCGGGGCUUAACUCCGGGCGUGCAGGCGAUACGGGCAUAACUUGAGUGCUGUAGGGGAGACUGGAAUUCCUGGUGUAGCGGUGAAAUGCGCAGAUAUCAGGAGGAACACCGAUGGCGAAGGCAGGUCUCUGGGCAGUAACUGACGCUGAGGAGCGAAAGCAUGGGUAGCGAACAGGAUUAGAUACCCUGGUAGUCCAUGCCGUAAACGGUGGGCGCUAGGUGUAGGGGGCUUCCACGUCUUCUGUGCCGUAGCUAACGCAUUAAGCGCCCCGCCUGGGGAGUACGGCCGCAAGGCUAAAACUCAAAGGAAUUGACGGGG
rnacentral:rRNA from 1 species